rnacentral:rRNA from 1 species
UACGUAGGGGGCUAGCGUUGUCCGGAAUCAUUGGGCGUAAAGAGCGUGUAGGCGGCUCGGUAAGUCCGCUGUAAAAGUCAAAGGCUCAACCUUUGAAUGUCAGUGGAUACUGCCGGGCUAGAGUCCGGAAGAGGCGAGUGGAACUCCUGGUGUAGCGGUGGAAUGCGCAGAUAUCAGGAGGAACACCAACGGCGAAGGCAGCACUCUGGGCCGGUACUGACGCUGAGGAGCGAAAGCGUGGGGAGCAAACAGG